UACGUAGGUGGCAAGCGUUGUCCGGAUUUACUGGGCGUAAAGAGCGCGCAGGCGGUCGUUCAAGUCGCGUGUGAAAGCCCCCGGCUCAACUGGGGAGGGUCACGCGAUACUGAUCGACUCGAAGGCAGGAGAGGGAAGUGGAAUUCCCGGUGUAGUGGUGAAAUGCGCAGAUAUCAGGAGGAACACCGAUGGCGAAGGCAGGUCUCUGGGCAUUAACUGACGCUGAGGCGCGAAAGCGUGGGGAGCAAACAGG
rnacentral:rRNA from 1 species